rnacentral:lncRNA from 1 species
GAUCCAUUGGGUUCCAUGGGGCCUGUAUGGGAUCUCUGUGGGAUCUAUUGGGAUCUAUGGGGUCUGUAUGGGAUCUGUAUGUGUUCCAUUUGGAUCUAUGGCGUCUCUAUGGGAUCUAUUGGUUUCUAUGGGGUCUCUAUCAGAUCUCUAUGGGAUCCAGUGGGAUCCACGACGUCCCUUUUGGAUCUCUAUGGGAUCCAGUGGGAUCUAUGGGGUCUCUAUGGGAUCUCUGUGGGAUCUCUAUGGGAUCCAUUGGGAUCUAUGGGGUCUGUAUGGGAUCCCGUGGGAUCUAUGGGGUCUCUAUUGGAUCUGUAUGGGAUCCAUUUGGAUCUAUGGGGUCUUUAUGGGAUCCAUUGGGUUCUAUGGGGUCUUUAUAGGAUUUCUAUGGGAUCCAGUAGGAUCCACAGGGUCUCUAUGGGGUCUCUAUGGGAUCCAUUUGGAUCUAUCGGGUCUCUGUGGGAUCUCUGUGGGAUCUCUAUGGGAUCCAGUGGGAUCUAUGGGGUCUCUGGGGGAUCUCUAUGGGAUCCAGUGGGAUUCACGGGGUCUGUAUGGGAUCUGUAUGGGAUCCCGUGGGAUCGAUGGGGUCUCCAUGGGAUCUCUGUGGGAUCCAUUGGGUUCUAUGGGGUCUCUAUGGGAUCUCUACGGGAUCCAUUGGGAUCUAUGGGGUCUCUGUGGGAUCUGUAUGGGAUCCAGUGAGAUUCACGGGGUCUCUAUGGGAUCUGUAUGGGAUCCAUUUGGAUCUAUGGGUUCUCUAUGGGAUCUCUAUGGGAUCCAUUGGGAUCUAUGGGGUCUCUAUGGGAUCUCUUGGGAUCUAUGGGGUCUCUAUGGGAUCUCUUGGGAUCUAUGGGGUCUCUAUGGGAUCUCUAUGGGAUCCAUUGGGUUCUAUGGGGUCUCUAUGGGAUUCAUUGGGAUCUAUGGGGUCUAUAUGGGAUCUCUGCGAGAUCCGUUGGGUUCUAUGGCGUCUCUAUGGGGUCUCUAUGGGAUCCAUUGGGAUCUAUGGGAUCUCUAUGGGAUCCCUCUGGCAUAUAUGGGUUCUCUGUGGGAUCUCUGUGGGAUCCCAAUAGGAUCUGUGGGUCCCCACAGUGUCGUCGUUGUCCCCCCCCAUAAAGAACAUAAGCGACGCUAUGGGGCACAGCAGCG